GACGUAGGGCGCGAGCGUUGUCCGGAUUUAUUGGGCGUAAAGAGCUCGUAGGCGGCUCGUUGCGUCGGCUGUGAAAACCCGCAGCUCAACUGUGGGCUUGCAGCUGAUACGGGCGGGCUGGGAUUCGGUAGGGGAGACUGGAAUUCCUGGUGUAGCGGUGAAAUGCGCAGAUAUCAGGAGGAACACCGGUGGCGAAGGCGGAUCUCUGGGCCGUAACUGACGCUGAGGAGCGAAAGCAUGGGGAGCGAACAGG
rnacentral:rRNA from 1 species